rnacentral:rRNA from 1 species
UACGUAGGGGGCGAGCGUUGUCCGGAUUUACUGGGCGUAAAGCGCGCGUAGGCGGAUCCUUAAGUUGGUGGUGAAAGUCCGAGGCUCAACCUCGGAACUGCCUCCAAAACUGGGGAUCUGGAGGUAUGGAGAGGGAAGUGGAAUUCCUGGUGUAGCGGUGAAAUGCGUAGAUAUCAGGAGGAACAUCUGUGGCGAAGGCGGCUUCCUGGCCAUAUCCUGACGCUGAGGUGCGAAAGCUAGGGGAGCGAACGGGAUUAGAUACCCCCGUA